GACGAACGCUGGCGGCGUGCUUAACACAUGCAAGUCGAACGGAAAGGCCCUGCUUUUGUUGGGUUCUCGAGUGGCGAACGGGUGAGUAACACGUGAGUAACCUGCCCUUGUCUUUGGGAUAACUUCAGGAAACUGGGGCUAAUACCGGAUAUGAGCUCCUGCUGCAUGGUGUGGGUUGGAAAGUUUCGGCGGUUCGGGAUGGACUCGCGGCUUAUCAGCUUGUUGGUGUGGUAGUUGCUUACCAAGGCUUUGACGGGUAGCCGGCCUGAGAGGGUGACCGGCGACAUUGGGACUGAGAUACGGACCAGACUCCUACGGGAGGCAGUAGUGGGGAACAUUGCACAGCGGGCGGAAGCCUGAUGCAGCAACGCUGCGUGCGGGAUGACGGCCUUCGGGUUGUAAACCGCUUUCGCCUGUGACGAAGCGUGAGUGACGGUAAUGGGUAAAGAAGCACCGGCUAACUACGUG
rnacentral:rRNA from 1 species